AUUGCAGGAUCUCAGUGCCAGCUCCCCCUGCUUCUCGCUCCUAUCCACCCAGCAGGCUCUACCCGGUGCCCACCCUGCCCACUUCUCUUUCUUAUAUAAUGACAGCAUCUCCUAGUGCUCACUCCGCCCACUUCUCUCCCCCAGCCAAUCCGCGAGCUCUGCCAGUGCGUUGCGUUCCUGUCCUCGGAGGAGGGAGCCCGGGGUCUCUCCGGGAAACGGAAACGCAGGCUGGGGGGUGCGGCUCGUUUCCUUGCGACGCGGGCAGAAGCGCUCUGCCGCCGCGCGGUGGUUUUGUGGGGCAAAGGCAGCGCGGUUCCGCAGGCCCUGACGCUGCAGGGUCUCAGGGGGGCCCCGGGCGCUUUGUCCGGGUGGAGCGGGGCCCGCCCGGCGGGACGUGUGUGCGGCUGCGCAAAUGGCCCCAACGGCGCCGCGCGGGCCCGGGAGGGGGCAGUCUGGGGAGGCAGCGGCUGCGGGUCCCGCCCACGCGGAGCGCUCUCUGCCUCUCCGAGCUCUUGCUCCGGACUCGUUCCUUCAUCUAGGGCGCCGUGCACCGAGUGCCGUCCCUGCUGUCCGCACACAGUUCGGCUGGGCUCCCGCUCCCUCUCUCGGUGGAAUGAGCUGUCACAGCCGCCUCCGCGCGCACCUGUGCCCAAGGAGUGGCAGCUGGGCUGGCUUCAUGCCCCGGGAAAGGGAUGUUUGGCAUCACCAGCGGUUGGCAGACCGGUUGCGCACCUGCUUAGCUGUCAGGCUUAUCUGAAGGACAAGUCCUCCUGCCUCCAAACAGCAAAACCUCCAGCGCGGCUGGAAACGGAGCUGUGGCUGCCCAUUUGCAUUUCGAGGUCACUGUGUGGCAGGGCCAGGAGCUGAGCUGGAGACGACGGCAUCGUGUGGCCAGAGGGUUCAAGGGACGUGAGGAAAAGGGGCCUCCACAAUCGCCAGAGACAAUCCAAGGACCGUGGGAGCUGCUGGCCUCAGCCCCGGACUUUCCUGGAGCUGAGACAGUUUCAAAGCCACUGGCUGCCAGACGGAGUCUCGGAGUCUCGCUCUGUCACCAAGGCUGGAGUGCAAAGGCGCAAUGUCGGCU